UACGGAGGGUGCAAGCAUUAAUCGGAUUUAUUGGGCGUAAAGGGCGCGUAGGCGGAUAUAUAAGUCAGAUGUGAAAUCCCGGGGCUCAACCCCGGAACUGCAUUUGAAACUAUAUUCCUUGAGGGUAGGCGGAGAAAACGGAAUUCCACAUGUAGCGGUGAAAUGCGUAGAUAUGUGGCAGAACAUCGGUGGCGAAGGCGGUUUUCUAGCUUAUUCCUGACGCUGAGGCGCGAAAGUAAGGGGAUCAAACAGG
rnacentral:rRNA from 1 species